CUCAAUCCAAACCUGCAGCCCCCUGCCGUCCCAGCCUCCCUCCCCCGCCAGCCCUGCUGGUGCCCUUAAAUCCCAACCCUCAGCACCCAUUGGUGGUCUAACUGGGGGGACUGGCUGGCUGCCAGGGGAGGAGGGGGGCUUUCCCUUUAGGGACACCAGCCCCAACCCGGCCCCAGGGUGGGGGCUGGAAAGCUCGGUGCCAUGUCCUGAUGCUGCCUGUUGCCCCCAGCCCUCUGGUGUGUGUUGUGCCCAGGGCAGCUCCUUGCAGGCAGCCCAGGAGGAACCGCUCAGCAACUCGACUUCCCCUUUCAACAGCGCGACAAUGUGGUUUAACCUGCGGGUUCCAGCUUCCUGCGCUGGGCGGCCCGAGGCAGUGCAGAGUCACAGCUCUGCCAGAGCCCCCAGGCCCCACGCUGGAGCCCCCCGGACUCCCGGACACGGGCUCUGAGCCCCCACAGGGUCUCCAGCCCCCCACCAUGGAGCUCCGUGUGCUGCGCCGAUUCUCCUUGGUGGACAACAACCAACAGAAGUGGAUGCCCCGUCUGCACUCUCUCUCCAUGGCCCGCAGCACGGACAGUCUGGACAGGACAGGGGAUGGGCCGCUCCGCCCUCUGGGGAACACAGCCGCCACUGUCAAGGGAAAAGCCCCCAAGAGGUAAGCAAGGGGAGCCCUGUUCCUGGAGCAGGGUCCCUGGUGGUGAGUGUGGCAUGACUUGUGCCUGGCCU
rnacentral:lncRNA from 1 species